rnacentral:rRNA from 1 species
AAGGGAGCUCUGCUCCCGGAUGUUAGCGGCGGACGGGUGAGUAACACGUGGGUAACCUGCCUGUAAGACUGGGAUAACUCCGGGAAACCGGAGCUAAUACCGGAUAGUUCCUUGAACCGCAUGGUUCAAGGAUGAAAGACGGUUUCGGCUGUCACUUACAGAUGGACCCGCGGCGCAUUAGCUAGUUGGUGGGGUAAUGGCUCACCAAGGCGACGAUGCGUAGCCGACCUGAGAGGGUGAUCGGCCACACUGGGACUGAGACACGGCCCAGACUCCUACGGGAGGCAGCAGUAGGGAAUCUUCCGCAAUGGACGAAAGUCUGACGGAGCAACGCCGCGUGAGUGAUGAAGGUUUUCGGAUCGUAAAGCUCUGUUGUUAGGGAAGAACAAGUGCGAGAGUAACUGCUCGCACCUUGACGGUACCUAACCAGAAAGCCACGGCUAACUACGUGCCAGCAGCCGCGGUAAUACGUAGGUGGCAAGCGUUGUCCGGAAUUAUUGGGCGUAAAGGGCUCGCAGGCGGUUUCUUAAGUCUGAUGUGAAAGCCCCCGGCUCAACCGGGGAGGGUCAUUGGAAACUGGGAAACUUGAGUGCAGAAGAGGAGAGUGGAAUUCCACGUGUAGCGGUGAAAUGCGUAGAGAUGUGGAGGAACACCAGUGGCGAAGGCGACUCUCUGGUCUGUAACUGACGCUGAGGAGCGAAAGCGUGGGGAGCGAACAGGAUUAGAUACCCUGGUAGUCC